AACAUCGCGCACCUGCGGGAACCUGCGGAAGGAUCAUUACCGAGGCUGCCUCUAUGGCGGUUUCCCACCUGUGUCAUUUUUACCUGUUGCUUCGGCGGUUGCUUGUCAGUCGCCGAAGGAUUUUAAUCUUGAUGUUUGAUGUCCGAGUUCUACUGAAUAGUUAAAACUUUCAACAAUGGAUCU
rnacentral:misc_RNA from 1 species